rnacentral:rRNA from 1 species
GGUUAAGCGACUAAGCGUACACGGUGGAUGCCCUGGCAGUCAGAGGCGAUGAAGGACGUGCUAAUCUGCGAAAAGCGUCGGUAAGGUGAUAUGAACCGUUAUAGCCGGCGAUGUCCGAAUGGGGAAACCCAGUGCAAUUCGUUGCACUAUCGUUAACUGAAUACAUAGGUUAACGAGGCGAACCGGGGGAACUGAAACAUCUAAGUACCCCGAGGAAAAGAAAUCAACCGAGAUUCCCCCAGUAGCGGCGAGCGAACGGGGAGCAGCCCAGAGUCUGAAUCAGCUUGUGUGUUAGUGGAACGGUCUGGAAAGUCCGACGGUACAGGGUGAUAGUCCCGUACACCAAAAUGCACAGGUUGUGAACUCGAAGAGUAGGGCGGGACACGUGGUAUCCUGUCUGAAUAUGGGGGGACCAUCCUCCAAGGCUAAAUACUCCUGACUGACCGAUAGUGAACCAGUACCGUGAGGGAAAGGCGAAAAGAACCCCGGCGAGGGGAGUGAAAAAGAACCUGAAACCGUGUACGUACAAGCAGUGGGAGCACCUUCGGGUGUGACUGCGUACCUUUUGUAUAAUGGGUCAGCGACUUAUAUUCUGUAGCAAGGUUAACCGUAUAGGGGAGCCGCAGGGAAACCGAGUCUUAACUGGGCGUUAAGUUGCAGGGUAUAGACCCGAAACCCGGUGAUCUAGCCAUGGGCAGGUUGAAGGUUGGGUAACACUAACUGGAGGACCGAACCGACUAAUGUUGAAAAAUUAGCGGAUGACUUGUGGCUGGGGGUGAAAGGCCAAUCAAACCGGGAGAUAGCUGGUUCUCCCCGAAAGCUAUUUAGGUAGCGCCUCGUGAAUUCAUCUUCGGGGGUAGAGCACUGUUUCGGCUAGGGGGUCAUCCCGACUUACCAACCCGAUGCAAACUACGAAUACCGAAGAAUGUUAUCACGGGAGACACACGGCGGGUGCUAACGUCCGUCGUGAAGAGGGAAACAACCCAGACCGCCAGCUAAGGUCCCAAAGUCAUGGUUAAGUGGGAAACGAUGUGGGAAGGCACAGACAGCCAGGAUGUUGGCUUAGAAGCAGCCAUCAUUUAAAGAAAGCGUAAUAGCUCACUGGUCGAGUCGGCCUGCGCGGAAGAUGUAACGGGGCUAAACCAUGCACCGAAGCUGCGGCAGCGACACUAUGUGUUGUUGGGUAGGGGAGCGUUCUGUAAGCCUGCGAAGGUGUGCUGUGAGGCAUGCUGGAGGUAUCAGAAGUGCGAAUGCUGACAUAAGUAACGAUAAAGCGGGUGAAAAGCCCGCUCGCCGGAAGACCAAGGGUUCCUGUCCAACGUUAAUCGGGGCAGGGUGAGUCGACCCCUAAGGCGAGGCCGAAAGGCGUAGUCGAUGGGAAACAGGUUAAUAUUCCUGUACUUGGUGUUACUGCGAAGGGGGGACGGAGAAGGCUAUGUUAGCCGGGCGACGGUUGUCCCGGUUUAAGCAUGUAGGCUGGUUGUCCAGGCAAAUCCGGAUAAUCAAGGCUGAGGUGUGAUGACGAGGCACUACGGUGCUGAAGUAACAAAUGCCCUGCUUCCAGGAAAAGCCUCUAAGCAUCAGGUAACAUCAAAUCGUACCCCAAACCGACACAGGUGGUCAGGUAGAGAAUACCAAGGCGCUUGAGAGAACUCGGGUGAAGGAACUAGGCAAAAUGGUGCCGUAACUUCGGGAGAAGGCACGCUGGUGUGUAGGUGAAGUCCCUGCGGAUGGAGCUGAGACCAGUCGAAGAUACCAGCUGGCUGCAACUGUUUAUUAAAAACACAGCACUGUGCAAACACGAAAGUGGACGUAUACGGUGUGACGCCUGCCCGGUGCCGGAAGGUUAAUUGAUGGGGUUAUCCGUAAGGAGAAGCUCUUGAUCGAAGCCCCGGUAAACGGCGGCCGUAACUAUAACGGUCCUAAGGUAGCGAAAUUCCUUGUCGGGUAAGUUCCGACCUGCACGAAUGGCGUAAUGAUGGCCAGGCUGUCUCCACCCGAGACUCAGUGAAAUUGAACUCGCUGUGAAGAUGCAGUGUACCCGCGGCAAGACGGAAAGACCCCGUGAACCUUUACUAUAGCUUGACACUGAACAUUGAGCCUUGAUGUGUAGGAUAGGUGGGAGGCUUUGAAGCGUGGACGCCAGUCUGCGUGGAGCCAACCUUGAAAUACCACCCUUUAAUGUUUGAUGUUCUAACGUUGGCCCCUGACCGGGGUUGCGGACAGUGUCUGGUGGGUAGUUUGACUGGGGCGGUCUCCUCCCAAAGCGUAACGGAGGAGCACGAAGGUUAGCUAAUCCUGGUCGGACAUCAGGAGGUUAGUGCAAUGGCAUAAGCUAGCUUGACUGCGAGCGUGACGGCGCGAGCAGGUGCGAAAGCAGGUCAUAGUGAUCCGGUGGUUCUGAAUGGAAGGGCCAUCGCUCAACGGAUAAAAGGUACUCCGGGGAUAACAGGCUGAUACCGCCCAAGAGUUCAUAUCGACGGCGGUGUUUGGCACCUCGAUGUCGGCUCAUCACAUCCUGGGGCUGAAGUAGGUCCCAAGGGUAUGGCUGUUCGCCAUUUAAAGUGGUACGCGAGCUGGGUUUAGAACGUCGUGAGACAGUUCGGUCCCUAUCUGCCGUGGGCGCUGGAGAAUUGAGGGGGGCUGCUCCUAGUACGAGAGGACCGGAGUGGACGCAUCACUGGUGUUCGGGUUGUCAUGCCAAUGGCACUGCCCGGUAGCUAAAUGCGGAAGAGAUAAGUGCUGAAAGCAUCUAAGCACGAAACUUGCCCCGAGAUGAGUUCUCCCUGAGACUUUAAGUCUCCUGAAGGAACGUUGAAGACGACGACGUUGAUAGGCCGGGUGUGUAAGCGCAGCGAUGCGUUGAGCUAACCGGUACUAAUGAACCGUGAGGCUUAACCUU